CCUAAGAGAUACGUGUUAUGUGAAGUGUUCACACAGAUUGUCUGAUGAAGAACGAGCAAAAGCGCGUCUGCGAAGCUGACAGAAGUCCCCUUCGUCUAGAGGCCUAGGACACCGCCCUUUCACGGCGGUAACAGGGGUUCGAAUCCCCUAGGGGACGCCAAUGCGCGGUAUGAGUGAAAGGCGUACCACUUAUCUGACGAGAGUCAGAGAAUAACUAAGCUAAUUCAAACGAGUUAUCUUACUUAUUAUGCUCUUUAACAAUCUGGAACAAGCUGAAAAAUUGAAAACAAAUCAAUAUAUCACCGAGGUAUAUUGGUGAGUCUCUCAAAAUCUCAAACCUUAAAGUUUGUCACGCAAAGUUUAUCUUUGAAAAAGACACUUUCGGGUGGUGA
rnacentral:misc_RNA from 1 species